GAUGAACGCUGGCGGCGUGCCUAAUACAUGCGAGUCGAGCGAACAGACGAGGAGCUUGCUCCUCUGACGUUAGCGGCGGACGGGUGAGUAACACGUGGAUAACCUACCUAUAAGACUGGGAUAACUUCGGGAAACCGGAGCUAAUACCGGAUAAUAUAUUGAACCGCAUGGUUCAAUAGUGAAAGACGGUUUUGCUGUCACUUAUAGAUGGAUCCGCGCCGCAUUAGCUAGUUGGUAAGGUAACGGCUUACCAAGGCAACGAUGCGUAGCCGACCUGAGAGAGUGAUCGGCCAAACUGGAACUGAGACACGGUCCAGACUCCUACGGGAGGCAGCAGUAGGGAAUCUUCCGCAAUGGGCGAAAGCCUGACGGAGCAACGCCGCGUGAGUGAUGAAGGUCUUCGGAUCGUAAAACUCUGUUAUUAGGGAAGAACAAAUGUGUAAGUAACUAUGCACGUCUUGACGGUACCUAAUCAGAAAGCCACGGCUAACUACGUG
rnacentral:rRNA from 1 species